UACGUAGGUGGCAAGCGUUGUCCGGAUUUACUGGGCGUAAAGAGCGCGCAGGCGGUCGUUCAAGUCGCGUGUGAAAGCCCCCGGCUCAACUGGGGAGGGUCACGCGAUACUGAUCGACUCGAAGGCAGGAGAGGGAAGUGGAAUUCCCGGUGUAGUGGUGAAAUGCGUAGAUAUCGGGAGGAACACCUGAGGCGAAGGCGGGCUACUGGGCUGAUACUGACGCUGAUGCGCGAAAGCCAGGGGAGCGAACGGG
rnacentral:rRNA from 1 species